GCAGUGGUAGGCUAGUGGCUAGGGAGCUGGGCUAGCAUGCAGGCGCCUUAAUAGUUGUGGGUUCAAUACCCACAGGCUGCC
rnacentral:tRNA from 1 species